rnacentral:tRNA from 1 species
GCUCCUAUAGCUGAAUUGGUCAAAGCAAUAGUCUCUUAAACUAUGGAUUCAAGGUUCGAGUCCUUGUGGGAGCA